CCAGUUUAAUAUUAGAACAGAUAGAAAAAAACUUUUAAAAAGAGCUUGACUUGUCAAAAUUGGACCAAGCACAAAAAAAAAAAACCCCAAAAAAACAACACAGUAACAAAGGACAAAAAUAAUUCCAAAAAUACGCAGUAAGUGAUGGGUAAAUCAAAACACGAUCUUAACUCAAAAUUGAAUAUGUAUUCUAAUAUUGAAUUGACAACAAAGUGAGAC
rnacentral:lncRNA from 1 species